rnacentral:rRNA from 1 species
AUUGAACGCUGGCGGCAUGCCUUACACAUGCAAGUCGAACGGCAGCGGGGGAGAAGCUUGCUUUUCCUGCCGGCGAGUGGCGAACGGGUGAGUAAUACAUCGGAACGUGCCCUGUAGUGGGGGAUAACUAGUCGAAAGAUUAGCUAAUACCGCAUACGACCUGAGGGUGAAAGUGGGGGACCGCAAGGCCUCAUGCUAUAGGAGCGGCCGAUGUCUGAUUAGCUAGUUGGUGGGGUAAAGGCCUACCAAGGCGACGAUCAGUAGCUGGUCUGAGAGGACGAUCAGCCACACUGGGACUGAGACACGGCCCAGACUCCUACGGGAGGCAGCAGUGGGGAAUUUUGGACAAUGGGCGAAAGCCUGAUCCAGCAAUGCCGCGUGUGUGAAGAAGGCCUCCGGGUUGUAAAGCACUUUUGUCCGGAAAGAAAUGGCUCUGGUUAAUACCUGGGGUCGACGACGGUACCGGAAGAAUAAGGACCGGCUAACUACGUGCCAGCCGCCGCAGUAACAC